GACGAACGCUGGCGGCGUGCCUAAUACAUGCAAGUAGAACGCUGAAGGAGGAGCUUGCUUCUCUGGAUGAGUUGCGAACGGGUGAGUAACGCGUAGGUAACCUGCCUGGUAGCGGGGGAUAACUAUUGGAAACGAUAGCUAAUACCGCAUAAUAGUAGAUGUUGCAUGACAUUUGCUUAAAAGGUGCAAUUGCAUCACUACCAGAUGGACCUGCGUUGUAUUAGCUAGUUGGUGGGGUAACGGCUCACCAAGGCGACGAUACAUAGCCGACCUGAGAGGGUGAUCGGCCACACUGGGACUGAGACACGGCCCAGACUCCUACGGGAGGCAGCAGUAGGGAAUCUUCGGCAAUGGACGGAAGUCUGACCGAGCAACGCCGCGUGAGUGAAGAAGGUUUUCGGAUCGUAAAGCUCUGUUGUAAGAGAAGAACGAGUGUGAGAGUGGAAAGUUCACACUGUGACGGUAUCUUACCAGAAAGGGACGGCUAACUACGUGCCAGCAGCCGCGGUAAUACGUAGGUCCCGAGCGUUGUCCGGAUUUAUUGGGCGCAAAGCGAGCGCAGGCGGUUAGAUAAGUCUGAAGUUAAAGGCUGUGGCUUAACCAUAGUACGCUUUGGAAACUGUUUAACUUGAGUGCAAGAGGGGAGAGUGGAAUUCCAUGUGUAGCGGUGAAAUGCGUAGAUAUAUGGAGGAACACCGGUGGCGAAAGCGGCUCUCUGGCUUGUAACUGACGCUGAGGCUCGAAAGCGUGGGGAGCAAACAGG
rnacentral:rRNA from 1 species